CGAUGCGGUGAAGCUGUGGCCGAAAUCCAUAGUACACCAGCUCUUUGUGCAGGUGUUGGUGGGAGGACGAAAUUCUUUAGAGCAGAGCUUUGAAGAUCCA
rnacentral:rRNA from 1 species